rnacentral:tRNA from 1 species
GCGGAUGUGGCGGAAUUGGCAGACGCGCUGGCUUCAGGUGCCAGUGGCAGCAAUGCCGUGUGGGUUCAAGUCCCGUCAUCCGCACCA